ACACACACACACACACACACACACACACACACACACAGGUAGAGGCUAUUGUUUAACGAGGAUUGACGAGGAACACCAAUCAACAGGUAACACUUAUAUUGGAAUGUUUCGGAGGUUACGUAAGUACACACCAAAAAGAGGACGAUGAAAAUAAAUAAAUUGGAUGGGGAUGAGGCACACACAUGAAUGCUGUAUAUAUAUAUUUACAGAUGUUAAUAAUGGGUUGAUUUUUCCUUUUUUUUUCCGAAAGAUUUUGAAUUCAUUAAAAAUUUCCUCUUUUCUAUUUUACUUGUUUUUUGUUAUUGUUUUUUUUUUUUUAAUACGCAUCGCUGUAAUAGUUUUUUGGUGUCGUGUGUCUUGCUUUUAUGUACCUAUUAAAGAGUUGAUAUUACUAGAUAUAUAGAUUAAAAACUUUUCAGAAAUUUAUGACUCAAAAAAUUUAUACGACUCCAAUAAUUUAUACUUCAAAUAUUAAUACAACUUAAGAAAUUUAUAAGACUCAAAAACUUUAUAUGACCCCAAUAAUUUACACGACUUCAAAUAUUAAUACGACUUAAGAAAUUUAUAAGACUCCAAUAAUUUAUACGAAUUCAAAUAUUAAUACAACUUAAGAAAUUUAUAAGACUCCAAUAAUUUAUACGAAUUCAAAUAUUAAUACAACUUAAGAAAUUUAUAAGACUCCAAUAAUUUACACGACUUCAAAUAUUAAUACGACUCAAGAAAUUUAUACGACUCCAAUAAUUUAUACGACUUCAAAUAUUAAUACAACUUAAGAAAUUUAUAAGACUCCAAUAAUUUACACGACUUCAAAUAUUAAUACAACUUAAGAAAUUUAUACGACUCCAAUAAUUUAUACGACUUCAAAUAUUAAUACAACUUAAGAAAUUUAUAAGACUCCAAUAAUUUACACGACUUCAAAUAUUAAUACAACUUAAGAAAUUUAUAAGACUCAAAAACUUUAUACGACUCAAAAAAUUUAUACAACUUUAAAAAUUCAUAUGACUCCCAGAAUUUAUAAAACUCAAAAGAUUUAUACAACUCCAAAAAUGUGUACAACUCAAAAUAUUUAUACGACAAAAAAUUAUACAACUCAAAAAAUUUAUACAACUCAAAAAAUUGGGAGCAUCGAGUUUUCAGAUUUCCAUGUAAUAAAAAGGAAAAAAAACACAAACUGGACUGACCAAAAAUCCAUAUAGACGUGUACUCUACUAGGGAAAGCUUGCCAUAUCUUCUUAUACCUCUCUAUAGUAACAUUGAGUAUUAAUUUAAGUAGAGGAUUGCCAUCUCGCCAACGACAGACUCUUCUAAAAUACAGUCCUCCCUCAAAUGGUACGGUUUCCAAUAGUUCGGUUUUGGUUUUAUGUGGAUUUUCUAAUAAGAUUUUUUAGGAUUUUUAAAUUUCCCGACAAGCAGGAAAUUUAAAAAUCCUAAAAGGUCUUCCAUGACAAUCCGUAUAAAGCCGAAACUGAACUAUUGAAAACCGUGCUAUUUGAGGGACUGUAUUUCUCGAUUAAAAUUCCACUGGCCUCUUGCAGACUCCUACGUUCUUAUGUUCUUCUGUUCUUAUUACUUCACUUCCAAUUAUAUGUUUUGUUUAGCCUAUUUGCACCCUCAUACAACUAAUUUUGAAGCCUAUUAAUAUGCUGGAAGUACCCAUUUAAUUAACCCGUAAAAGAUGUUUAUAGGAAGCUGACUUAGUCCUGUUGUAAUAGUAUCAUUAUUAUCAUUACUGUUUUAAAUUAUACUUGUCGUCAAUCAUACCUUAAAACAAGAACAACAAUAAUAACACUAUCGCACUAUCCGCUUCAUACACGAAGAUGAAGGAGAAUGUACAGAGGACGCCACAGAACGGAUAGGAUUGAGAAAUUGACACUAUACACAAGAGGUGACAGAGGAGAGCACGGAGGCAAGGAAUUCAGGGCUUGUGUGAGGUCUACCUGGCCAGCAUGGGGAGGGAGAUAGAGCAAAUACUAAGGUGGGCUUGUGUGAGGUCUACCUGGCUGGCAUGGGGAGGGAGAUAGAGCAAAUACUAAGGUUCUGGGGGCAACAAAAACUAUUCUAUUCAUUUUCUUUAGUUAUCAUAAUUCUAUAAGCCACUGAACCUUGAAGAUGACCAAUAGGAAGUAAGGGAGGAAAAUGGUAACACUUUUUUUUGAGUUGUAAGAAUUUUUUUUUGUUUUUUUUUCGAGGCAACAAAUUUAAAUGAAAAUGAAUAAAUAAAUAAAUAACAGCGAGAAGAGAUCGAUACACAUUUUUCAAGAUGGUAAGAAACUGAAGAUUACGUAUAAUUAAUUUUGAGGUGACACAAAUUUAAAGUCGUAACACAUAUCUUAACCAGGUAGCAGAGACGGGCCAAAUUUGUGGCUUUAAAAAUAUGAAUAGGUUAACGAUGAAUCACAGGUGAGAAAUGAAUGCUUGGUUAACGAGUCACAGGUAGGGAAGACAUAACUCACUAACGAUUAUCACAGGUAGGAAAUUAGUGACCUAACGAUAUGAUUCCCAGGUAAAAAAAAUGAUUAGGUUAACGAUGAAUCACAGGUGAGAAAUGAAUGCUUGGUUAACGAGUCACAGGUAGGGAAGACAUAACUCACUAACGACAUAAUCACAGGUAAGAAAUGAAUGACCUAACAAUAUGAUUCCCAGGUAAAAAAAUGAUUAGGUUAACGAUGAAUCACAGGUGAGAAAUGAAUGCUUGGUUAACGAGUCACAGGUAGGGAAGACAUAACUCACUAACGAUUAUCACAGGUAGGAAAUGAAUGACCUAACGAUAUGAUUCCCAGGUAAAAAAAUGAUUAGGUUAACGAUGAAUCACAGGUGAGAAAUGAAUGCUUGGUUAAUGAGUCACAGGUAGGGAAGACAUAACUCACUAACGAUUAUCACAGGUAGGAAAUUAGUGACCUAACGAUAUGAUUCCCAGGUAAAAAAAUGAUUAGGUUAAUGAUGAAUCACAGGUGAGAAAUGAAUGCUUGGUUAACGAGUCACAGGUAGGGAAGACAUAACUCACUAACGAUUAUCACAGGUAGGAAAUUAGUGACCUAACGAUAUGAUUCCCAGGUAAAAAAAGCAAUGAACUAUAACGAUGAAAUCAGGUGAGAAAGGAUUGGUUAGCUAACGAUGUGACACAGGUAGGGUAGAAACGACCCACUAACGAGGUAAUCACAGGUAGGAUAUUGACGAUUCAGGUAACGACACACAGGUAAGGGAAAGAAAUUAAUCACUAACGAUGUAUCAGACGCAAAAAAAAACAACUUCACAGGUACGCCAAAGGUAAAUAUAUGCUCUGCCCGCCACUGUCGCCGCUGCCGUGGGUAAACCAGCAACAGAGGUCAGGUCAAACACAGGUUCCAGUAGCGACGAAACACCCAACUCUCUCUUGUGGGGUCGAAACCUUUGUAAACGUACACUCGUCUCUUAAACAGGAUCCAAUUGCCUUAUAACAAACAUUCAUCUACCAUGCAUCUCAAGGUGUGGUUACCAUGCGUCCAUGCAACCGAGAAUCAACCACAUGCAACCGAGGACUCAACCGCAUGCACCCUAACCACAUGCCCUGCCUGAUGCGUUUGGUGGAGUGGCGUGGAGUGAGGUGGAGUGUGUAGGGGGUGGUUCGGUCACCCUCGGCGGAAGUGUGACCCCACCGACUUGAAGAAUAACAGCAAGCGGAGAGGUGGAGAGACAGGGAGAGAUGGAGACAGGGUGGAGAGAGAUAGCAGCCCCUCUCGGAAGUCUCUCAGCAUCACAGCAAGGAGAGGAGACAGAGAGACGGGAGAGAUAUGGAGAGCUCAAAUAGUCUCUCUCAAAGCCUUUUAAUCAUAUGUAACACAGUGAAUAUGGAGUACAGAGACAGGGUGGAGAGAGAUAACAAGCCCCUCCUGGAAGUCUCUCAGCAUCACAGCAAGGAGAGGAGACAGAGAGAGGGGAGAGAUAUGGAGAGAUCAAAAUAGCCUCUCUCAAAGCCUUUUAAUCAUAUGUAACACAGGAAAUAUGGAGUAGAGAGACAGGGUGGAGAGAGAUAACAGACCCUCCUGGAAGUCUCUCAGCAUCACAGCAAGGAGAGGAGACAGAGAGAGGGGAGAGAUAUGGAGAGCUCAAAUAGUCUCUCUCAAAGCCUUUUAAUCAUAUGUAACACAGGGAAUAUGGAGUAGAGAGACAGGGUGGAGAGAGAUAACAGACCCUCCUGGAAGUCUCUCAGCAUCACAGCAAGGAGAGGAGAUAGAGAGACAGGGAGAGAUAUGGAGAGAUCAAAAUAGCCUCUCUCAAAGCCUUUUAAUCAUAUGUAACACAGGGAAUAUGGAGAGGAGAGACAGGCACAGACGCAGAGAGAUAUAACACGUUCUUUUGCAAGCUUUACCUAACCACCAUGGCCAAAGGAUGCGAGACAGAGCGACAGAGAUGAUGUGAAGAUGUGGGCAGAUGUUACCCUCUCGUAGAAAGCCAUCACCACCACCAAUAUAAGUGAUAGAGAGAUGAGAUUGAAGACGAAAGAGAGAUAGACAGUAAGAUGAGAAACAGAGAGAGAUAUGUCUGUGUGAAGAGAGAGAGAGGUCGGACAAGACAAGACUGAGGUGGAAUGAAUGAAGGAAGGAAGGAAUGGAAAGAGAAAAAGGAAUUGCUCAGAGGUAGAGACAGUGAGAUGAGAAACAGAGAGAGAUAUGUCUGUGUGAAGAGUGAGCGAGGUCGGACGAGACGAGACUGAGGUGGAAGGAAGGGAAGGAAGGAGUGGAAAGAGGAAAAGGAAUUGCUCAGAGAUAGAGAGACAGAGAGAUAUGUCUGUGUGAAGAGUGAGCAAGGUCGGACGAGACAAGACUGAGGUGGAAUGAAGGGAAGGAAGGAAGGAGUGGAAAUUAAGAGAGGAAGGAAUUGAUGAAAGAGAAAGACAGUGCUGGAAAAUAAUAGGAAGCAGAGAGGAAUAUGCUUUUGUUAUAUAAGGGAACAAAAAUAAAAGGAAUAUGGUGUUUGUGGACAUAGGAGAAAGAGAAAAGAAGGAAAAUAAUUAAGUAAGAACAUGACACCUAUUAGUAAGUCUCUGUGUGAAGGGAAACAUUAGGAUUUAUAGAAACUGGUCCAUCCCUAACUUAACCUAACCCAACCUAUCCUACCUUGACCUGGCUUGACCUAGUGUAUUGUAACCUAGCCUAACCUAACCUAGUGUAUCGUAACCUAUCCUAACCUGACCUGACCUAACCUAAUCUAACCUAGUGUAUCGUAACCUAGCCUAAUCUGACCUGACCUAACCCAACCUAGCCUAACCUAACCCAACCUAGCCUAACCUGACCUAGUGUAUUGUAACCUAGCCCAACCUAACCUAGCGUAUCAUAGCCUAGUCUAACCUGACCGGAUCUGACCAAGUGUAUUAUAACCUAACCUAACCUGACCUGACCUAACAUAACCUAUCCUAACCUAACCUGACCUGACCAAGUGUAUCGUAACCUAGCCUAACCUAACCUAGUGUAUUGUAACUUAACCUAACCUAACCUGACUUGACCUGACCUACCCUAGAGUAUCAUAACCUAACCUGGCCUAACCUGACCUGACCUGACUUGACCUGACCUAAUGCAGUGUAAAUCUUCUCUCACACCACUUCUAGGGUAAAAUA